GCAGUAGCCGCGGUAAUGCGAAGGGUGCAAGCGUUAAUCGGAAUUACUGGGCGUAAAGCGUGCGUAGGUGGUGGUUUAAGUCCGUUGUGAAAGCCCUGGGCUCAACCUGGGAAUUGCAGUGGAUACUGGGUCACUAGAGUGUGGUAGAGGAUAGUGGAAUUUCCGGUGUAGCAGUGAAAUGCGUAGAGAUCGGAAGGAACAUCUGUGGCGAAGGCGGCCAUCUGGGACAACACUGACGCUGAGGCACGAAAGCGUGGGGAGCAAACAGGAUUAGAUACCCCCGUAGUCCCUGUCUCUUAUAC
rnacentral:rRNA from 1 species